rnacentral:piRNA from 1 species
UAGUCUUCCAGCUACAGGUCUACUAUUCGCC